rnacentral:rRNA from 1 species
UACGUAGGGAGCAAGCGUUGUCCGGAAUCAUUGGGCGUAAAGCGCGCGUAGGCGGCCCCGAUAAGUCCGCUGUGAAAGUCAACGGCUCAACUGUUGGAUGCCGGUGGAUACUGUCGGGCUAGAGUACGGAAGAGGCAAGUGGAAUCCUGGUGUAGCGGUGGAAUGCGCAGAUAUCAGGAGGAACACCUAUAGCGAAGGCAGCUUGCUGGGACGUUACUGACGCUAAGGCGCGAAAGCGUGGGGAGCGAACAGG